GGGCGUGUGGUGUAGUGGUAUCACGUCUGCCUUGCUUGCAGAAGGCCCCGAAUUCAAUUCUCUGCACGUCCA
rnacentral:tRNA from 1 species